rnacentral:lncRNA from 1 species
GUGACUAAAUGUGUAUUUGCAAAGCAGCAUCUGAAGAAGCAAAAAUUCUUUAUAUGUAACCUGAUAUAUGUAAGGGACAAAUAGCAUUGAGGAAGUACUGAGGACUAUAUAAUAGCCUCUUCACUGAUUGUGAUUCUAAUGGUGACUUCUCUAAUGGACUGAUACAUAGGAGCAAGAGGUAAUCCAAGUGAAUAUAUACCACUGAAAUUAACAAGACAUUACCUCAUCCUCUUUGGGGUGGCAGAACUUCAUAUGCUACAGGACUUGAGCAGGAAUGAGCUCAUGCCUCUGAGAUCUGAGCUGCUGCCUCACAGGGGCCCCUGCAUGCUGAUGGAAAGGAAGAAGAGGAUCUGCAACCCAGGCUUGCUACUCUAUGGCCAUUCCAUGAGUAACUUCACAGCACAUUCCAUGUACUCAACCUCACAGGCACCUGCUACCAUUAUGGUCCUGCCUAGCUGUUGGAGCUGGGAGCCCUGUAGACCCUUAACAUGGAAGGCAACCUGAACCUGGGAGGUAAACAGAUGCAGAGCAUUCCCACUAUAACUUGCUGACAUAGCUGCCUCUAGAGAUCCUCAGACCUAUUCAUAAGGAAGAGUUGCUUUUUCAUGAAAUACAUAGGUUGUUUUGUUAGAGAUUUAUCAUUUGCCCCUCCAACUCUUCUGAUAAUACGUGCAAUGAACAUUAAGUUACAGAAUUAUUUCUUAUACUCCCUAUGAUUUUCCUGGGAAUCUUCUUAGAUGCUUGUGUUUAGCCAGCAAUUGCCCAAACCCCAAGUAUGGAGGGGUAUAUUUUGACUGCUGUGUCAGACAUAUUAAGUCUGUGGACUUCUUUGGGAAGUAUCACAUCCCCCUGAUUCAUUGUUUGUGUUUUCCAGAAUGCUUUUCCCCUUGUAGCUCUGCAUCACACACCUCUACCUCUAAAAUGGCAUCUGACUCAGAAGAUGAAGCCAGGAUGCUGCACACAGAAUGUAGAAUGUUCUUCGUGGAUAACAGCAGUGUGUGUUGAAAAACACUAAAACUAAGCUCAGGUGAUUAAAAAAGAAAAUAGAGCUUGAAGAUUAUUGGAAAUAUUAGUAUUUUCAUCUUGAAUGUCCAUGUAAGAGUUGCAAUGUUGUUAUAUGAUUUACAUUUCAUAUAUCUGUUCAGUAUGAUAGAGUCCAGGUCCCUGUAUAGAUUUUGAGUAGACUUUAUUCUGAAUGGCAGGUCAAAAGUGUGGUUGGUCCUGUAGAAGCCCAGUAUUUAUCCCUAGCUUAGGAGUGGACUUUGGGAGCCCAUUCUAUAUAGAGGAAUACUCCCUGAGCCAAGAAAAACAGGAGUGGGCCUAGGCCCUAUCCCAAAGGAUGCGAAAGACUCUGAUGACACCCUAUGGAAGGCCUCACCAUCCAGGGGGAGAGGAAAAGAUAUGUGAUAGAUAGGGUUUUAGUUGGGGGUGGGGGUUAGGGGUGGACGGGUGGGAGAAGGGAACAGGGAUUGUCAUGUAAAACAAUCCUGUUUUUAAUUCAAAUAAAGAAAAGCUGAAAAAAAACCA